rnacentral:misc_RNA from 1 species
AAGUCGUAACAAGGUUUCCGUAGGUGAACCUGCGGAAGGAUCAUUAAUACGUACUUUCACGUAUCACUCAAUCGUGGACUUGUCCCGCUUUUUGUGGAGAGUUGGAGGCGAAAUUUGUGGUCAUAUUUUACCAGCGUGGGGGAGGGACUAAGCUUAACGGCUUUUUUUCUCUUUGACCUGUUCGCCGAGGGUUAAUAAAUCGAACGCCAACUUUUUGAUCGGAAAGACAAGUGCAGCUUGUUCUGCAUGCAUCUCCUGGUCGGAGUUGUUCGAUUCGACUCUUUACAAAGCGUUUUUUCUUAAUCCAUGCUGGGAAUCAAUUAUUUUUACCCCAAGUACUAUUAUCAAGAACUAAUUGUGUUUUUUCUGCUUCAUUGCGGAGAAAACGCCAAAUACCGAAACUUAAGAACAACUCUUAACAACGGAUAUCUUGGUUCUC